UUCCUUUAGCUUAAUCUUAAAGCGUAACUCUGAAGAAGUUAAUAUUUCAGGAAAUU
rnacentral:tRNA from 1 species